GUGGCGGGAGACCGUCGCAUUGUUUCGUGGAGGCAUCAACCGGUAAACAAGGAGCAGCCAGAUGGCUUUGCCCGAUUUUUCCAUGCGCCAGUUGCUUGAGGCCGGCGUUCACUUCGGCCACCAGAAGCACCGCUGGAACCCCAA
rfam:Pelagibacterium sp. SCN 64-44 ABS76_C0050, whole genome shotgun sequence.